rnacentral:rRNA from 1 species
GACGAACGCUGGCGGCGUGCCUAACACAUGUAAGUCGAACGGGACUGGGGGCAACUCCAGUUCAGUGGCAGACGGGUGCGUAACACGUGAGCAACUUGUCCGACGGCGGGGGAUAGCCGGCCCAACGGCCGGGUAAUACCGCGUACGCUCGUUUAGGGACAUCCCUGAAUGAGGAAAGCCGUAAGGCACCGACGGAGAGGCUCGCGGCCUAUCAGCUAGUUGGCGGGGUAACGGCCCACCAAGGCGACGACGGGUAGCUGGUCUGAGAGG